UGCGUAGGUGGUUGGGUAAGUCUGAUGUGAAAUCUCCGAGCUCAACUCGGAAACUGCAUCGGAUACUAUUCAGCUAGAGGAUUGGAGGGGGGACUGGAAUUCUCGGUGUAGCAGUGAAAUGCGUAGAUAUCGAGAGGAACACCAGUGGCGAAGGCGAGUCCCUGGACAAUUCCUGACACUGAGGCACGAAAGCUAGGGGAGCAAACA
rnacentral:rRNA from 1 species